GAGUAGGAGGAGACUGCCCUGGCAACUUCUAAACUAGCCUCGGAUAUCACGCUCUUAAAGGAAUAUGACAAAUCUGAAGACAUAUCUGAGGAGGUAGCUGUAGCUGGACAACGGUAAAGAGGUGCCUGUCCCCAUGGAAGACUCAAGCCUGUCCAGCAGUGUUGAUGUGGACAAAGGCUUUGCCAUUGCCUUUGUCGUUCUUCUCUUUAUAUUCCUAAUUGUAAUGAUUUUUCGGUGUGCCAGGUUGGUGAAGAAUCCCUAUGAGGCCAGCUCCACAACCACAGAACCAUCUCUGAAUUGAAGUAUGAUAAAUCCUGGUAGACACCUCC